rnacentral:rRNA from 1 species
UAAACGACUCUCGGCAACGAAUAUCUCGGCUCACGCAUCGAUGAAGAACGUAGCAAAAUGCAAUACUUGGUGUGAAUUGCAGAAUCCCGUGAACCAUCGAGUUUUUGAACGCAAGUUGCGCCCGAAGCCUUUUGGCCGAGGGCACGUCUGCCUGGGCGUCACAC